CGGGACAUGAACCAGUGCCCCUAGGGAAUGCUGGUGCUGCAUGCAGUGGCGUAACUAACUGUAUGGCAGAGUCACAGUCUUCUCAGCCAUCCUUCUCCUCUCCUGAAAUGCCCUUUCUGUUCAGACUCAGGGAGCCAGGCUUGGAGAGCGUCUUUGGCCCCCUUGUUCUCCCACUGCACCCCACUCUCCUGCCUGCGGCCCUCUUGAUGCUCCAUGGGAUGCUGUUCUUGGGGAUCAGCUGCCGCAGCCAGUGGAUCCCACAGAGCCCACCAUACCAGGUCUGCCUGCCCUGUGCCAGCUGCCGCAGCCGGUGGGU